GCCAAUGUAAAUUCAGUCUUUGGAAAGCUGGCUUUAGCUCAUUGCCAUUUUCUUUGUCCUUUCUCCUAAAUGAUUUCAACUUUUCUCUUUUAAAGUAUGCAUACAGAAAAUGAAUCAUUAUACUUAUUUUUCUUUUCAGCCUUUACUAGACAAACUUUGUGGUUUUGAUUCACACAUCUCAUCUUAAUAGCAGUGUAAGAUCUUUUAAAUUGAGCUGUUAAAUAAUAAACUUGUCCACAAAUAUACAACCAUUGCAAUAAACUCACAUCAGCCAUUCAGACACAAUGGUGAUAAGAGCUGAGAUGACUAGAAAGACACUGUUAAGGCCACUUAAAGGGCAAUAACAAAUAAAUGCUAUCAGCUGUGUUUUCUCUCAAAAAAAAAAAUCAAACAAACAAAACCACCCUUUCUUCAGAAUCUUCAGCUCUUUGCCUUAUUUUAACAUGCAAAAGCACUGGGACAUUUUUGCAGCCUCUUGACCCCAAGCGAAGGGUCUCCAUCAAACUCAGUUGUUCGUGCAUAUGAAGAUUUUCUUCAUAGCUGUGUUGUGUAAAUGAGAAUUGUUGCCCCUUUGGAGUACAUAGAACAAGUGUCUGCCAACGUCCACACACAGCAGGGCUCAGGUAUGAGAAGGGGUCACCAUGUGUGAGGAUGGGCAGCCCUGAGGCGGUCUGUCUCAGCACACUGGAACUGCCCAUCCCAGAAACCUGGAAGGCUGAGGCAAACUAUCCCAGGCUGCUGGGCACAGGCAGACACUGCAGCAUUUCCCUCUGCUUAAAACAUACCUGAGGGAGAAGAGUGUACUUGGACCUCGUUGUGCUCAGAGCCAGAGACCACUUGUGCUUCCCGUUGAGAGCCACUGGGCACAACAUGAGGUUGGACUGGGAUCAGGUCCCAAAGCCUCUUUUGCUCAUUCUCCUGCAUGUCUUGCAUUUCCUGGUGUAUGGUGACUCUGCCCCAGCAGGAGGGUCAGAGAGCACUGCCUUGCUCAGACUGUCCUGGAGGCCAUUGUUGAAGGUACUAGCCUGGGAAGUACAGAUGCUUCUUGAAGAAAUAAAUGCCUGGCUGUUUCCUGAACGGCUCCAAGCUCCCCUGAUAUGUGCUCAGAAAUGAGGCCGAUCUUCCAAGGAGGAAAGACAGCUGGGAUCAAGGCAUCUCCACUUACGUACCCUGGAAACUUUCAGACCAAAAUCUGUACCUGGAUUUGGUUUGGGCAUUUGGGUGCCCUCAAUUCACACCAGGGAAUAAGCACUGGGAAUCCUCCCUCUGCAGCCUGGAGGAGGCAGUUUCACAUUAAAUCUGAUGGACUGGAGCCUUAUUAACCCAGCUUUUUUUUUGUUGUUGUUGUUAUGAGGAAGUUUAUCAGAGUUUCUCUGACAUACCUGCAAGUUUGCCAUAGUGAUUAUACAGUUUGCUAUGGAUUUAUACCUUCUGGGUCCUUCUGGGUCUCACCACAGAGGUUCAAGCUCAAGGAAGAUGAAAGCCCAGGAAACAGUGUUUAGGCCUUAAAAGAUUCACUUCUGAACCCCAAUUCAUCUACCAUGCCAUUGCACCACAGAUCUACCUGUCUUUCUAAUCCUGGGCCUGUUACCUUCUCUCCAAACUAAAUCCUUUCUUCCAAACACCUCCUUGCUGCCAACUCCACCAUCCCUGCAAGGAGACAAAGGGCACAAGUUUUCAUCUAGGCCCAUGGGCUCCACUUGUAUGUUGUUUGUAUUCCUGUUUGCUCUGUUUUACCACUGCUUCUGCAGCCCAAUUCUGCAGUCUUUGGGACAGGGCCUGUCAUUUUGUGUUGUGGCUGCUAUGACUGGAUCCUGCUCCAAGGCAGAGAAUGCAAGGCUCUAAGGUAAUAAAAAUAAAUAAAUAAGACUUUGGGCA
rnacentral:lncRNA from 1 species